GAUGAACGCUAGCGGCAGGCUUAAUACAUGCAAGUCGAGGGACAGCACAGGUAGCAAUACUGGGUGGUAACCGGCAAACGGGUGCGGAACACGUACACAACCUUCCCUUAAGUGGGGGAUAGCCCAGAGAAAUUUGGAUUAAUACCCCAUAAUAUAGUUGAAUGGCAUCAUUUGAUUAUUAUAGCUACGGCGCUUAAUGAUGGGUGUGCGGCUGAUUAGAUAGUUGGCGGGGUAACGGCCCACCAAGUCUACGAUCAGUAGCUGAUGUGAGAGCAUGAUCAGCCACACGGGCACUGAGACACGGGCCCGACUCCUACGGGAGGCAGCAGUAAGGAAUAUUGGUCAAUGGACGCAAGUCUGAACCAGCCAUGCAGCGUGAAGGAUUAAGGUCCUCUGGAUUGUAAACUUCUUUUAUUUGGGACGAAAAAGGGCCUUUCUAGGUCAACUGACGGUACCAGAUGAAUAAGCACCGGCUAACUCCGUGCCAGCCGCCGCAGUAAGAC
rnacentral:rRNA from 1 species